GACGAACGCUGGCGGCGUGCUUAACACAUGCAAGUCGAACGGAAAGGCCCUGCUUGCAGGGUACUCGAGUGGCGAACGGGUGAGUAACACGUGGGUGAUCUGCCCUGCACUUCGGGAUAAGCCUGGGAAACUGGGUCUAAUACCGGAUAGGAGCCAUUUUUAGUGUGAUGGUUGGAAAGUUUUUUCGGUGUAGGAUGAGCUCGCGGCCUAUCAGCUUGUUGGUGGGGUAAUGGCCUACCAAGGCGGCGACGGGUAGCCGGCCUGAGAGGGUGGACGGCCACAUUGGGACUGAGAUACGGCCCAGACUCCGACGGGAGGCAGCAGUGGGGAAUAUUGCACAAUGGGCGCAAGCCUGAUGCAGCGACGCCGCGGGGGGGAUGACGGCCUUCGGGUUGAAAACUCCUUUCGCUAGGGACGAAGCUUUUUGUGACGGUACCUAGAUAAGAAGCACCGGCUAACUACGUG
rnacentral:rRNA from 1 species